GAUGAACGCUAGCUACAGGCUUAACACAUGCAAGUCGAGGGGCAGCAUGAAUUUACUUCGGUAAAUUUGAUGGCGACCGGCGCACGGGUGCGUAACGCGUAUCCAACCUUCCCGUUACUCCGGGAUAGCCUUCCGAAAGGGAGAUUAAUACCGGAUGGUGUUCAAGUGGUGCAUAUUAUUUGAACUAAAGAUUUAUCGGUAACGGAUGGGGGAUGCGUACCAUUAGAUAGUAGGCGGGGUAACGGCCCACCAUGGCGACGAUCAGUAGCCGGUCUGAGAGGAUGAACGGCCACAUUGGGACUGAGAUACGGCCCAGACUCCUACGGGAGGCAGCAGUGAGGAAUAUUGGUCAAUGGCCGGAAGGCUGAACCAGCCAAGUAGCGUGAAGGAUGAAGGUUCUAUGGAUUGUAAACUUCUUUUAUACGGGAAUAAAGCCCGCUACGUGUAGCGGUUUGUAUGUACCGUAUGAAUAAGCAUCGGCUAACUCCGUG
rnacentral:rRNA from 1 species